rnacentral:rRNA from 1 species
GGCGUGCUUAACACAUGCAAGUCGAGCGGAAAGGCCCCUUCGGGGGUACUCGAGCGGCGAACGGGUGAGUAACACGUGAGUAAUCUGCCCUCCACUUCGGGAUAGCCCUCCGAAAGGGGGAUUAAUACCGGAUGGGCACCACGGACCGCAUGGUGUGUGGUGGAAAGUUUUUCGGUGGGGGAUGAGCUCGCGGCCUAUCAGCUUGUUGGUGAGGUGAUGGCUCACCAAGGCUUCGACGGGUAGCCGGCCUGAGAGGGUGACCGGCCACACUGGGACUGAGACACGGCCCAGACUCCUACGGGAGGCAGCAGUGGGGAAUAUUGGACAAUGGGCGGAAGCCUGAUCCAGCAACGCCGCGUGAGGGAUGACGGCCUUCGGGUUGUAAACCUCUUUCAGCACCGACGAAGCGUGAGUGACGGUAGGUGCAGAAGAAGGACCGGCCAACUACGUGCCAGCAGCCGCGGUAAUACGUAGGGUCCGAGCGUUGUCCGGAAUUAUUGGGCGUAAAGAGCUCGUAGGCGGUGUGUCGCGUCGGGAGUGAAAACCCAGGGCUUAACUCUGGGCUGGCUUCCGAUACGGGCACACUAGAGGUAUGCAGGGGAGAACGGAAUUCCUGGUGUAGCGGUGAAAUGCGCAGAUAUCAGGAGGAACACCGGUGGCGAAGGCGGUUCUCUGGGCAUGACCUGACGCUGAGGAGCGAAAGUGUGGGGAGCGAACAGGAUUAGAUACCCUGGUAGUCCACACCGUAAACGUUGGGCGCUAGGUGUGGGAUCCAUUCCACGGGUUCCGUGCCGUAGCUAACGCAUUAAGCGCCCCGCCUGGGGAGUACGGCCGCAAGGCUAAAACUCAAAUGAAUUGACGG